AUGGGAACGGACGUCUUCGAUUGCCCCAUCUGCUCUACCCCCCUUAGCCCUCCCAUUUUCCAGUGCUCACUCGGGCAUUUCGUCUGCUCGGCUUGCCAUGACAAGCUCCCUGGAACUGACAGGGCAUGCAGCAUGUGCUCCAGACCCGUCUUGGACCGCUGCCACGGUGUGGAGUGUAUCGUCGGCUCUGUCCUCUUGCCGUGCUCCUACGCUCUCCAUGGAUGCACUGCCGCAAUCCUGUACCACCAAAAGGGGGAACACGAGAAGGUGUGCCUGCACGCUCCGUGCUUCUGCCCAGAGAACGGUUCCGGCUUCGCUAGCACAACAGAGGCGCUCCUAGGCCGCUUCACUGCCAAGCACGAUUGGCCGAUCACGGCGUUCAAAUACUAUGAACCAUUCGAUGUGCCCGUGAAAGCCGAUGUGCACAUCCUCCACGGCAGCGGUGAAGAGGUAGAAAAAGACAAUGAUAGCGACCUCUUCCUGCUACAUAUAGGGUACCCGGAUGCCCCGCUGCACAGUGUCUCACUGGUCCGUGUACAGGCACACGCACAGGAGUAUGGGGUCGGAUGCUCCGUGGGUUUCUCUUGGUUCAUGGGACAGUACCAAGUCGCGACACUGGACUUUAUCCGAACCUCAUCGCUGUCUAAUGGGCUGCCGAAAUGUAGCUUUUGUAUUGUCCCCGAGGUUCGCCGUGGAGGCGGAGGGCCUGUCAUGCUCAGCGUCACCAUAGGUAUCAAUACAGAGGAGGACGAAGAAGAUGACAACAAGGAGGGCGAUGAUGACGACAGUCACGUCAAAGUGGGUGAAAACAAGGAGGAGGAUGAGGCCAGUCACAAAGCAGAUUGA
rnacentral:rRNA from 1 species